UAGAAAAAUAUAUUUAUUUGUUAAAAAGAAAAAAGAAAUGGCGGGAAAUUUGGAUAGAACAAGGGCGGGCAUCGCUUAUCUCCAUACUCAUUUCCAGUCCAGCAACGGUCUUCCAUGGAUUCCGAUUCAGAUUCCGACGGUUCUCACGUCUCCAACACUCCCCCAAGAGUUAUCAAGCCUUCACCACCGGCACCGACAUCGGCACCGGUCUCGGCUCCUCCUUCACGGCGUACCCUUUUCUCCACUACCAAAUCCAAAAUCAAUGUAAAGGCCUCCUCUUCUUCUUCACACUCCAAAUCCGCUCCAAAGCCCAAAAGUUCUUCUCACAAGAAGUCUAAGGCACCUGAUCCGACCUCCGUUGAACCCGAGCAGACACCUCCCGAAGAACCAUUUCCCACUCUCUCCCCAAUUUUACCUUUCCAAAUCCGUAACCGGGUUUCCGAUCAGAGCCCGAUAUCUAUCGAGACCCUUCCUGCUGGGUUUUUCUCCAAGUCUGCGUCUUUCUCAAAAUUUCGACGUUCUAGUGUUAGUUUUGAUCCUAUUAAAGAUGAACCAUGUCCUCCUUUGGCGUCAAAUUUGCAACAAAAGGUUCAUAUUGGUGGGUCUGAUUGUGCAGAGACUGAUUGGACACUGCCAGAGCUCGAAGAUGAAGCAUCUGUUGGUUAUGGAAACACUGUGAAAGUUGGAAAGAGACAUUCCAAUUUGAUUGGAAGCAAUGAACCUAUGCCGCAGGUGAAAUUGCGAAAAUGUGGCAACGAAGGGAAUUUUGUGAAGUUGAAUUUGAAGCGAAAUAAGAAGUUUUUGAACAAGGGGAAAAGAGGAAAUAGUACUUCAUCAGGUGGCCGAAGAUUUUACAAGAAAUAUAAGAAAAAGUUUAAACCAGCAGGUGGGGGUGAGACGGAGGAGGGUGUUUGUGAGGAACAUGGUGUGUUUAUGGAGAGCUUAACGAAAGAAAAGGAGAAGCAGGAGGGGAAAAAAGCUAAAUUUGAUUGUGAAUCGAUUGAGGAAACGAUUUUGGCUGCUCGAAAUGAAUCUUCGGAAGAGAACUUGUUGAAGCUGUUGAGCCUAACUCAUGGUUAUGAUUCGUUCAGGGAAGGGCAAUUGGAAGCAAUAAAGAUGGUUCUAGAUGGGAAAUCAUCGAUGCUUGUUUUGCCAACUGGUGCUGGUAAAUCACUGUGUUACCAGUUGCCUGCAAUGAUUUUACCUGGGAUAACUUUGGUUGUUAGUCCAUUAGUUGCAUUGAUGAUUGAUCAGCUAAAACAGCUGCCUCCUAUGAUCCAGGGAGGUCUUUUUUGUAGCAGUCAGACACCCGAAGAAGUUUCUAAGACAAAGAUGUUGCUGCAACAAGGUCUCAUUAAGGUUCUUUUUGUUUCACCAGAAAGAUUUUUGAAUGCAGAAUUCCUGUCAAUAUUUUCUGGUACUUUACUCGUAUCACUUGUCGUUGUGGAUGAAGCUCACUGUAUAUCCGAAUGGUCUCACAAUUUCCGACCGUCAUACAUGAGGUUAAGAGCAUCAUUGCUUAAAGAGAAGCUUAAUGUCAACUGCAUUCUUGCAAUGACAGCUACUGCAACAACCACAACUUUACAUGCUGUUAUGUCUGCUCUUGAGAUUCCUCCAACUAGUCUCAUCCAAAAGGCCCAUUUAAGGGAUAAUUUACACUUGUCUGUAUCAUUGAGUAAAGAUAAAAUGAAAGACCUGCUAGCAUUGAUAAAGUCUUCUCCAUUCAAAGAAGUUCAGAGCAUCAUUGUAUACUGCAAAUUUCAGUUCGAAACUGACGUACUAAGCAGAUAUUUACGUGAUUACAACAUCUCUGCAAAGAGUUACCACAGUGGUAUACUUGCAAAAGAUCGUAGCCGAAUACAGGAAUUGUUUUGUACAAACAAGAUCAGAGUAGUUGUGGCAACUGUAGCAUUUGGCAUGGGGCUCAACAAGACGGAUGUUGGAGCUGUCAUUCACUACAGCUUGCCAGAAAGUUUGGAGGCAUAUGUUCAGGAGAUUGGGCGAGCAGGGCGAGAUGGCCGAUCAUCGUAUUGUCAUCUAUUUUUGGAUGAUGACACGUAUUUCAAGCUUCGUAGUCUUAUGUUCAGUGAAGGAGUUGAUCAAUAUGCAGUAGACAAAUUCCUUUCUCAAGUUUUCACCAAUGAUAAUAAAUCACAAGGGAAGAUCUUCUCACUUGUAAAAGAAUCCGCUUCUUGCAAACUCGAUAUGAAAGAAGAGGUGAUGUUCACACUUCUGACACAAUUGGAAUUGGGUGAAGUGCAAUACCUGCGUUUACUACCGCAGAUAAAUGUUACUUGUACCUUAAAUUUUCAUAAGGUGGGUAGAAAAUUCGUUAUAACCUCUGUUCACCUGGGAGUUCUACUUGCUGCGGGUGCUCUCAGAAGCUAUAAACAUGUUACCAAUGGCAGGAAUUAUAUAAAACAUUUGUCCUACUAUACACCUCCUGAUGUUCUUGCUGAAAGGGAUAUUGUUGUUGCUGAAAUUCUGAAAAAGUCUGAAAUGAAGCAAGGAAAGUAUGUGUUUGACAUACCAACUGUAGCGAAUAGCAUCGGAGUUAUGACUACUGAUCUAUCAAUUCAGUUACAGAAUCUGAAGUUCAAGGGAGAAGUAACAUAUGAGCUAAAAGACCAAGCCUUCUGCUAUACAAUUGUGCAAGUUCCUACGGAUCUUUGUUCACUGUCAGCGGUUCUUACAAAAUGGUUAUCAGAGGUUGAAAGUUGUAAGGUGUGGAAGUUUGAUGCAAUGUAUGAUGCGGUCGUAUUUGCUGUUAAUUCAUGCGAAAAGUUGCAAGGUUGCUGUGGUGCAGAGCACACACUAUGCUUACAAAAAAGAAUACUGGAUUAUUUCAACGAAACUGAUAAUAAUGAUCAUCCUAAUAAGAUGGGUCAAAGCAGCCCAUUUUUGCGAGCAGAUAUAAAAGUAUUUCUGCAGGGAAACUCACAAGUAAAAUUUACUCCCAGAUCUAUUGCAAGGAUAAUGCAUGGCAUUGCAAGUCCAGCUUAUCCAUCUACAAUGUGGUCAAAAACUCACUUCUGGGGAAGGUAUACACAAACAGAUUUUCAUGUUGUAAUGGAAGCAGCAAAAGCAGAACUAAUUAACUUGUCAGCAAAGACUCAACCUACCUCUUAACAAUCAAUCCCACAGUUUCAUAAAGGUGAUGAUAAUGUUAAAAAAUCCCAUCUGCUGAUUUAUUUCAACAAGUUAGCAAAAUAUUUAUAUGAUGCCACAGUUCAUUUGAAGCUUAGAAACAUGAGAUUUGACAUAUUUUGGUCAGCAGCAUAUAAAAACAGUACAAAUUACAAGUUAUGGGGGUUUCCUGAUGUAGUAGCACCCAAAUGAAGACUAACCAAACCUGUUACAACACAGAGAAAAUGGCUUCAAAUGUACAAGAAAUAAUUCAUAAUAAUAACAAAAGGAAUUAUUACAUUAUUAUCUUUUUUUCCUUCUGUUAAGUGUGUAAAUUUUGUUAUCAUUUUACAUAUCAUAUAUUCAGUCCAUACCAAUUUAUUGUCGUUUUA